rnacentral:rRNA from 1 species
GUUGAACGCUGGCGGCAGGCCUAACACAUGCAAGUCGGACGGUAGCACAGAGGAGCUUGCUCCUCGGGUGACGAGUGGCGGACGGGUGAGUAAUGUCUGGGGAUCUGCCCGAUAGAGGGGGAUAACCACUGGAAACGGUGGCUAAUACCGCAUAACGUCGCAAGACCAAAGAGGGGGACCUUCGGGCCUCUCACUAUCGGAUGAACCCAGAUGGGAUUAGCUAGUAGGCGGGGUAACGGCCCACCUAGGCGACGAUCCCUAACUGGUCUGAGAGGAUGACCAGCCACACUGGAACUGAGACACGGUCCAGACUCCUACGGGAGGCAGCAGUGGGGAAUAUUGCACAAUGGGCGCAAGCCUGAUGCAGCCAUGCCGCGUGUAUGAAGAAGGCCUUCGGGUUGUAAAGUACUUUCAGCGGGGAGGAAGGCGAUGUGGUUAAUAACCGCAUUGAUUGACGUUACCCGCAGAAGAAGCACCGGCUAACUCCGUGCCAGCCGCCGCUGUAA